GGCAAAUGGAUCCCUGUGAGUUCGAGGCCAGCCUAGUCUACAAAGAUUACUGAGUUGACUGGAUUGAAGCGAUGGUGACAAAGGUCUCUUGGCCUACCUAGUUGGCUGAUUUCAACACUGGUGACUAUCUGUUGCUGGUCACUAGUAGCUUAACAGACACAACACUGUUGGUGACACAGGGUUUCAGCAACCCUCCUCCCCGAAACCAGACUUAAGGAAGCCACCAAAAAUAACUGGAUUUGGAACACCUGAGGAUAGUGGCUUGUGAGGUGCCUACCAUCACCCUGGCUCUGGAAGAGAGAAUGGAUGCUGAUGUUGUAAUGACAGCAGUUCUGGAGAGAGUGUGCAAAAACCCUAGGGGUCCUCAACUCUCAGGCCAACAUUCCCAAGAGGAUUUCCACACAUACACAGACAUGGUCAAGCCUGGUCAUGAUCAGGCCAAGGCCAGAACGAUCUCCCACACUGGUUCCCUGCUCAGAACUCACUGGUGGCAAUGACAAGCCCCUGGAAGGACAUCUGCACUUCUGACGCAGCCUCAGUUUGCGCUCCUGUACCAACCAUCUCCUACCCCACACUCUACCUCCCAACCAUCGCCUCACCUGUCCAGGGGUUGGGCUUCGCAGGUCUUUUGCCCAUGAGACACCAUCCCCAUAACCUCUGACCCCACCCUUCCCCACCCCUAGGCCAUUCAGAGAGCCAAUUUCCCAGCUGGGGAAGAAGCUCAGCGAAAGUGAGAACUUCCAGCACAUGAGAGCCCCAGGUGUGGUGGCUGUAAUCGCAAUGUUUGAGAGGCUGAGGCAGGAUGGUUCCUAAAGGCCAAAGCCAGUCUGGACUACACUGAAACACCGAUACCCCCCCCCAAAAAAAAACCAAAUACAAAACAACAACAAAAAGCCACACCAGAAAACAAAACAAAACUGCAAGCGGCUUCACAAACUCUUGUGUGUAAAUCCAAUAUCCAGUAUCAGUUGCAGAUGAGGGGCAGAGACAAUGACAUUCACCUGUGUAGCACAGAGUUUGGGCUAAUGGAAGAAGGUACAUGGUAAAAAUUGCUGAUGGAAUGAAGAAAUGGGAGAUGACAAGGGAAAUUUUUAAGAGGCCAGAAGAUUCAGGGUGGCACAUAGACCCCCGACUUCACAGCCCUGAGAUUCACAGGAGAGAAUGACAGCCCCGAGCAGAUGCCUGUGUGUCCAAUCCACAGGCUGUGAAACUAAGGCUUGGGGGAUGGUGAGCCAAGACUGAAAGACAUAACUGUUCAGAUCUUGAGCCCUGUGACUCAGCUGUGGGUCCUCUCUUUCCCUCUGAGCUCAGGUCUACAGGGUCUAUCGGAUCAGGGUCUACCUGGGUAAAAGCAGUCUGUAUUUCCACUUAAUAGUUUCAGUCUACAAAGGACACAGCAAGUGACGAACGUGCAAAGAUGAGAUGAGAUAGAUGGUGCCAAGUUAGAAGUUAGAUCACACUGACUCCAUCUCAAGCUACCCACAGCGGAGACCCUCACCCUCGGACCCAUGGCUCCCCAGUCCUAAGAGUGGGCCAGGGCCCCUCUCAGAGGAUACCCAAGUGGCCUAAAGCUUGUACCUUUGGCGGGUCCAGCACCAUUGGAAGUAGUUCAUUUCUCCCAAAUCUUAGCUGGCUAAAGAGCACAGUGACAAGAACUUCCAUGUGAACCUGAGGUUGCGGAAGGGAAUCAAUCCAUCACGGUCCGCCACAAACGGGGGAGGGACAGCGUGGGGACGGGGAUGCACCAGGAAGACAGGGAGGACAGGGCAGAUAAGGGAUCUCAGCCACCAGAAAGAUAGCAGGGACAAGUGACAAAGGAGCUGGGAGCCUGGCUGGUGCUUGCAGAGAAAGAAGAGCAUAUUAAAAUUUAAACAAAGCCCACCCCAGGGGAAGCAUCCAGGCUCCCUCUCCCAACCUGCGCCUCCCAUUUCCAGCUUCAGUCGUCAGGUUCAUAUAAACUGAAACAGGGGCUGGGGCUGUGUGCUUUUGUUUUUUGUUACCCAUUUGGGCAGUGGCAGCUGGCAUAUUGGGCCUCUUGGGGCAAGGCAGUUUGGGCCUCCCCAAGCCUAUGGCCUUUCCAGGGAGGCUUGAGAGAAGACAGCAGGCUGGGCUGGGUCUCAGCUGGACCAGUCCUGUCAGGACAGGAGGGUCCAGGGGGUGGGGGAGUAUUGUGAUGUGUGGACAUGGGCAAACACAGGCCUCAAUGUCAGCAAGAGAGGGUAAGAAAGGAGCUAAGGAGAGAAGGCCCAAGAACACCCCCACCCCCGCCACACACACACCAACUUCCACGACGAACGUACCAUGUGGGGGAGAAGGAGGAAGAGGAAGAGCCUGGCAGGACAAGGAACAGGAAGGCCCAAUUUAGCCCACACAAAAGCUACUUCCUCAAGAAAGGCCGUCUAACUUCCCUCUGUUCGCUUACCAGAUGAUGGUGAUGGGAGGAUUAGGGUGUGGGAGGCCCAAGUCUGGGCAGAGGCAGACACAGGAUACCGUGAGCUCCCUCCACCCCAGCGAGGCCCAGCAGGGCCAGCCUCAGCAUUUUCCCACAGGGGUCUCUAGCUUUUGGACAGGAUGUUUGUUUUAGGGCUAUCUUCCUACCAGAGAGACAGGCCUCAGUUCCCUGACAGUCUCCCUUCUGCCCUAAGCUCUAGGAGGUUUCCCAGGGAACCACAGACUGACUAUUGCUUGAGGUUAGAAAGGGCAAGCCAGGGCCUCUGAACCCAGACCUGGAGUUCAUGGAGCAAAACAGAGGCACCAAGAUAGAAUUUUCUUUCCCAGGCCAACGAAGCUAGCAUCUCCAAGGCUUCUUAGCUAUGUAUGUGGGAAAGACUUGGAAAGAGAAGUCUUAAAACUUAUAAUCCCCCCAAAACCAAAACCAAACAAACAGACAACAGUGUGAAAACAAAAGUUGGUGUCCAGUGAAAAUAAUCCAAAACGCAAUGGGCAUUUAUUUCUGCAAGGCGAUUUAACCACCUAACUCUGUCCUUGAGGAGAGAAUACAGGCUGUCUUAGUUGUUUUUCUCUGUGUGUAGCUUCUGGUGCCCUGAACUCGCUCUGUAGACCAGGCUGGCCUUGAACUAACAGAGAUCUGCCUACCUCUGGGCCUGAGUGCUGGGAUUAAUGGC